rnacentral:rRNA from 1 species
UACAGAGGGGGCAAGCGUUAUUCGGAAUUAUUGGGCGUAAAGGGCGCGUAGGCGGCUUGGCAAGUGGAAGGUGAAAUCCCUCGGCUUAACCGAGGAACUGCCCUCCAAACUGCUUUGCUUGAGGCCGGGAGGGGGUAGCGGAAUUCCCAGUGUAGCGGUGAAAUGCGUAGAUAUUGGGAGGAACACCAGUGGCGAAGGCGGCUACCUGGACCGGUUCUGACGCUGAUGCGCGAAAGCGUGGGUAGCAAACAGG